UACGUAGGGGCCAAGCGUUGUCCGGAUUUAUUGGGCGUAAAGAGCUCGUAGGCGGUUGGGUAAGUCGGGUGUGAAAACUCCAGGCUCAACUUGGAGAUGCCACCCGAUACUGCUCUGACUUGAGUUCGGUAGGGGAGUGGGGAAUUCCUGGUGUAGCGGUGAAAUGCGCAGAUAUCAGGAGGAACACCGGUGGCGAAGGCGCCACUCUGGGCCGAAACUGACGCUGAGACGCGAAAGCGUGGGGAGCAAACAGG
rnacentral:rRNA from 1 species